rnacentral:lncRNA from 1 species
AAUUCAAAAUAUGGAAGAGGAAAAUAUUUAAAGAUUUUUGGUGAAAGUCACAUAUUUUUUGGAUUAAAAAUGAAAUUUUUAUGAAUUAAAUAAAAUAAAAUGAUUAAAAGGAAAAUUAGAAAAUAAAAAGAAAAUAGAAAAAACAUAGGCCAUCAGAUCUCCCUCAUUAACUGAGGUGGCAUAUCUGAUGGCCACAAGCAUGCGCUCCAUCAUGUAACACAGCCAACGCGUGUACACACUUGGUAAUCAGAAGCAAGAGCUAAGAUUAAAAUAUUCAAAUGAAAUCAAAUGGCUGGAAGGGCGCCAACGCACCAUCGAAGCCCUAGCUCCGGUCUUCUUCUCC